CUCCUUGAUUAUACCAUCCUGAACAUAUCCAAUCCCAUCUGAGCACAGAAGCUAAGCAGAGUCAGGCCUGGUUAGUACUUGGAUGGGAGACAGCUUAGACAGCUUUCUUUCUGAGAGA
rnacentral:rRNA from 1 species